rnacentral:rRNA from 1 species
UAAUACGGAGGAUGCAAGCGUUAUCCGGAUUUAUUGGGUUUAAAGGGUGCGUAGGCGGAGGAGUAAGUCAGGGGUGAAAUGCCGCAGCUCAACUGCGGAACUGCCUUUGAUACUGCUUUUCUGGAGUCCGGAUGCCGUGGGAGGAAUGGGCAGUGUAGCGGUGAAAUGCAUAGAUAUUGCCCAGAACACCGAUUGCGAAGGCAUCUCACGAAUCCGGCACUGACGCUGAGGCACGAAAGCGUGGGGAUCAAACAGGAUUAGAUACCCUGGUAGUCCACGCAGUAAACGAUGAUAACUAACCGUCGGCGAUAGACAGUCGGUGGCCAAGCGAAAGCGAUAAGUUAUCCACCUGGGGAGUACGUUCGCAAGAAUGAAACUCAAAGGAAUUGACGGGGGCCCGCACAAGCGGAGGAACAUGUGGUUUAAUUCGAUGAUACGCGAGGAACCUUACCCGGGCUCGAACGGCAAGUGAACGACACAGAGAUGUGAAGGCCCUUCG